GAUGAACGCUGGCGGCGUGCCUAACACAUGCAAGUCGAGCGAUUCACUUCGGUGAAGAGCGGCGGACGGGUGAGUAACGCGUGGGUAACCUGCCUCAUACACACGGAUAACAUACCGAAAGGUAUGCUAAUACAAGAUGAUAUAAGAGAUUCGCAUGGAUUUCUUAUCAAAGCUCCGGCGGUAUGAGAUGGACCCGCGUCUGAUUAGCUAGUUGGUAAGGUAACGGCUUACCAAGGCGACGAUCAGUAGCCGACCUGAGAGGGUGAUCGGCCACAUUGGAACUGAGACACGGUCCAAACUCCUACGGGAGGCAGCAGUGGGGAAUAUUGCACAAUGGGCGAAAGCCUGAUGCAGCAACGCCGCGUGAGCGAUGAAGGCCUUCGGGUCGUAAAGCUCUGUCCUCAAGGAAGAUAAUGACGGUACUUGAGGAGGAAGCCCCGGCUAACUACGUGCCAGCCGCCGCAGUAACAC
rnacentral:rRNA from 1 species